rnacentral:lncRNA from 1 species
CUCCUCUUUCUUCUCCUUCUCCUCCUCCUCCUCCUCCUUUUACUUCUUCUUCUCUUUCUCCUAUUCUACGUAGCUUAAUUAGACUCAUCCAACAAAGCCUAAAUUGGCUAAUUAUCCAUCUGAAUGACAUAAUUAGCUUAGUUAGCUCCUAAAUGGUCUAUUUAAUGAAAAAUGACCUAUACUUAGCUAAUUAUCCUCGAAAUGACAUAAUUAGCUCCAAAAAGGC